CCUUAUCAAGAGAGGCGGAGGGACAGGCCCUGUGAUGCCCGGCAACCUGUGAUGUGUUCACCCUUGAGGCGAACGCCAGCAAGGUGCCAAUUCCUGCGGUGCAAACCGAAAGAUGAGG
rnacentral:ncRNA from 1 species